GGAGGUCGUACAAUCCGCACCGCUGCACGUGACCGAUGGGGACUGGCGAAUACUCUGCGAUAGGUUUUCGUCUGAUUCUUUUCAGAAGAGGAGCAAAAUAAAUUCUGACAAUAGAGGAAAGUUAGAAGUGAACCACGUAGCUGGUUCAAAGUCAUUUGUACAACUUCGUCACGACAUGCGAGAUUCCGUCACUGGCAAGGAGCCU